UACGGGGGGUGCGAGCGUUGUCCGGAAUCACUGGGCGUAAAGGGCGCGUAGGUGGUUUGAUAAGGGUGUGGUGAAAGUCCGGGGCUCAACCCCGGAUCUGCCGUGCCGACUGUCAAACUCGAGGGCUGUAGAGGCAGACGGAAUUCCGCGUGUAGCAGUGAAAUGCGUAGAUAUGCGGAGGAACACCGAUGGCGAAGGCAAUCCCCUGGACCUGUACUGACGCUCAUGCACGAAAGCGUGGGGAGCAAACAGG
rnacentral:rRNA from 1 species